GACGAACGCUGGCGGCGUGCUUAACACAUGCAAGUCGAACGGAAAGGCCCUACGGGGUACUCGAGUGGCGAACGGGUGAGUAACACGUGGGUGAUCUGCCCUGCACUUUGGGAUAAGCCUGGGAAACUGGGUCUAAUACCGAAUAGGACCGCAUGCUUCAUGGUGUGUGGUGGAAAGCUUUUGCGGUGUGGGAUGGGCCCGCGGCCUAUCAGCUUGUUGGUGGGGUAAUGGCCUACCCAGGCGACGACGGGUAGCCGGCCUGAGAGGGUGACCGGCCACACUGGGACUUAGAUACUGCCCAGACUCCUACGGGAGGCAGCAGUGCGGAAGAUUGCACAAUGGGCGCAAGCCUGAUGCAGCGACGCCGCGUGAGGGAUGACGGCCUUCGGGUUGUAAACCUCUUUCAGCAGGGACGAAGCGCAAGUGACGGUACCUGCAGAAGAAGGACCGGCCAACUACGUGCCAGCCGCCGCGGUAA
rnacentral:rRNA from 1 species